rnacentral:rRNA from 1 species
AGUGAACGCUGGCGGUAGGCCUAACACAUGCAAGUCGAACGGCAGCACAGUAAGAGCUUGCUCUUACGGGUGGCGAGUGGCGGACGGGUGAGGAAUACAUCGGAAUCUACUUUUUCGUGGGGGAUAACGUAGGGAAACUUACGCUAAUACCGCAUACGACCUACGGGUGAAAGCAGGGGAUCUUCGGACCUUGCGCGAUUGAAUGAGCCGAUGUCGGAUUAGCUAGUUGGCGGGGGAAAGGCCCACCAAGGCGACGAGCCGUAGCUGGUCUGAGAGGAUGGAGAGAAGCAGUGGGAGUGAGGAAGGGGCCAGAAGACUACGGAAGGGAGCAGUGGGGAAGGUUGGACAAGGGGGGAAAGUUGUAUCAAGCAAUGGAGAGGGUGGGAAGAAGGCAGUCGGGUGGUAAAGUACUUGGACGCGGAAAGAAAUGUCGGCGGUGAAUAAGUGGGGGCGAGGACGGUACAGGAAGAAUAAGGAACGGCUAACUACGUG